CCCGCUGAACUUAAGCAUAUCAAUAAGCGGAGGAAAAGAAACUAACAAGGAUUCCCCUAGUAACUGCGAGUGAAGCGGGAAAAGCUCAAAUUUAAAAUCUGGCGGUCUUGCGGCCGUCCGAGUUGUAAUCUGGAGAAGCGUUUAUCCGCGUCGGACCGUGUACAAGUCUUCUGGAAGGGAGCGUCGUAGAGGGUGAGAAUCCCGUCUUUGACACGGACAACCGGUGCUUUUGUGAUGCGCUCUCGAAGAGUCGAGUUGUUUGGGAAUGCAGCUCAAAAUGGGUGGUAAAUUCCAUCUAAAGCUAAAUAUUGGCGAGAGACCGAUAGCGAACAAGUACCGUGAGGGAAAGAUGAAAAGCACUUUGGAAAGAGAGUUAAACAGUACGUGAAAUUGUUGAAAGGGAAACGUUUGAAGUCAGUCGCGUCGGCCGAGACUCAACCUUGCUUCUGCUCGGUGCACUUCUCGGUCGACGGGUCAGCAUCAAUUUUGACCGCCGGAUAAAGGUCGGGGGAAUGUGGCAUCCUUCGGGAUGUGUUAUAGACCUCGAUUCGGAUACGGCGAUUGGGAUUGAGGAACUCGGCGCUUUGCGUCCAUGGAUGCUGGCAUAAUGGCUUUAAGCGACCCGUCGUGAAACACGG
rnacentral:rRNA from 1 species